AAGCAUGUCCAUGAAUGUUUACAUUGCUCAAAGCCCAACCCCUUUGAGUUGCCAGAUUUCUCCUGAUGUUUUGUCUUGGCCCUCAACCACUCGUUCUACACAUUACUAAAACCAGAGAGAAUACAAAAAUCCGAUCUUUCUUCUGGAUCCUUCUUUGGUUUGGUUUUUGGUUUUUGUGA